rnacentral:rRNA from 1 species
CCUACGGGUGGCAGCAGUGGGGAAUAUUGCACAAUGGGGGAAACCCUGAUGCAGCGACGCCGCGUGAGUGAUGAAGUAUUUCGGUAUGUAAAGCUCUAUUAGCAGGGAAGAAAAUGACGGUACCUGACUAAGAAGCCCCGGGUAACUACGUGCCAGCAGCCGCGGUAAUACGGCGGGGGCAAGCGUUAUCCGGAUUUACUGGGGGUAAAGGGAGCGUAGACGGUGAUGCAAGUCAGGAGUGAAAGCCCGGGGCGCAACUCCGGGACUGCUUUUGAAACUGUGUGACUGGAGUGCAGGAGAGGUAAGCGGAAUUCCUGGUGUAGCGGUGAAAUGCGUAGAUAUCAGGAAGAACACCAGUGGCGAAGGCGGCUUACUGGACUGUAACUGACGUUGAGGCUCGAAAGCGUGGGGAGCGAACAGGAUUAGAUACCCCAGUAGUC